CACGUAGGGUGCAAGCGUUGUCCGGAAUUAUUGGGCGUAAAGAGCUCGUAGGCGGUCUGUCGCGUCGGCUGUGAAAACCCGAGGCUCAACCUCGGGCCUGCAGUCGAUACGGGCAAACUAGAGUACUGCAGGGGAGACUGGAAUUCCUGGUGUAGCGGUGAAAUGCGCAGAUAUCAGGAGGAACACCGGUGGCGAAGGCGGGUCUCUGGGCAGUAACUGACGCUGAGGAGCGAAAGCGUGGGGAGCGAACAGG
rnacentral:rRNA from 1 species